rnacentral:lncRNA from 1 species
GCCAAGCAAUAUUGCCAAAUUUACCUUAGACACCAAUGAAGGGAAGAGAAACUAUUUCUCUUCGAAUUGUUCGGGUUGUAUCUAAAACUUUUCUACAAAUCUAUAUGAAUAAGGAUCAAAUCCUUACCUAAUUAGCUGUAGAACUAGAGAUCAAAUCUCCAAUAAUCUGAAAUAAACCUUUGUAGAGGCCUAAAAGUGCAGACUCUCUACUUCGCAUGCAUGCCAGACAACACAGGAAAGCGAGAUGAACUCUGAUCAAAUCAAAUUUGCAAUCCAACUAAAUGAAGGAGGAGAGGUACUGGUGUGAUGCCUCACACUAGCAAAAGGGAUGCCUAAGGUGGACCCA